rnacentral:lncRNA from 1 species
CAUCCUCAUCUCCGCAACCUUCAUUCUCUGAACAUGAGAGUUCUUCACUGGCCAGCACUCCGCCCCAUACAACAUUGCAGGUCUAACCACGGCUCUAUUAAAUUUCCCCUUGAGUUUCUGUGGAACUUUCUUGUCACACAGGACUUCUGACGCAAGCCUCCACUUUGACCACCCCGCUCCUAUACGAUGAGUGACGUCCCCGUCAAUCU